rnacentral:pre_miRNA from 1 species
UACAAUGUGUUGACUCUUCGUCUUAUUUGAAAUUUUUUGCGAUUAAUAUUUUUAUUAUUAUUAGAUGAUAAAAUAUGGAUAGCAUUUUAUACGUGACUAUUUUUUCAAGUUUUUUACAAAUUUUUUAAAUAAGACGAAUGGUCAAACGUUAGACACGGAAAAAC